AUAAUAGCAGAGAGGAUACACCUGUUCCCAUUCCGAACACAGAAGUUAAGCUCUCUAGCGCUGAUGGUACUUGGUGGGAAGCUGCCUGGGAGAGUAGGACAUAGC
rnacentral:rRNA from 1 species